rnacentral:ncRNA from 1 species
AAGUCGAACGAGAGCGACCGGUGCUUGCACUGGUCAAUCUAGUGGCGAACGGGUGAGUAACACGUGGGUAACCUGCCCAUCAGAGGGGGAUAACAUUCGGAAACGGAUGCUAAAACCGCAUAGGUUCUACAGUCGCAUGACUGAAGAAGGAAAAGAGGCUUCGGCUUCUACUGAUGGAUGGACCCGCGGUGCAUUAGCUAGUUGGUGAGGUAACGGCUCACCAAGGCCGUGAUGCAUAGCCGACCUGAGAGGGUGAUCGGCCACAUUGGGACUGAGACACGGCCCAAAACUCCUACGGGGNNNN